AAACAGACAGACAUCUAGUGCUGUAUACAGAUCAGUGGCUCAGACAACUUCGGAUUUUCCCGAUGUUCGCCCGAAGAGUAUACUUCUAUAAAUUAUGAAAUAAUACUUCAUAUUUAAUAUUUUUGUUGAUUUUAAAAUGUUUAGAGGGGAAAAUAUGUUGUGUUACAAUCGUGGUUGGUUAGAACAAUGUGUAGAAAGCGAAAAUAGCGAAGGAAAAGAGAUUAAAAUUGGAUUUUAUAGCGUAUUUUUGAAAUAUUAAUACCAUAGUCCCCACUGCGCAUGACAAUGACGUCACUUCAUACGGGACUUCUUCUUCACCACACAGUUUUUGGCGGGAAAAUUUGUAAUGUUUGGAGAAGACAAGAUGGGCGCCGGUUACUUCGUGUCGUCAAAGGGCAUUUUUGUUCACAAAUACCCGCUUAUUUUACGUUAUGGCGACUGUAAUUAUAACUUAAUGGACAGGGGAAACGAUUGUGUAGUAAAGAGAAAAGUACUUGUCGUUUAUAUUGACUUUAUAUUGUGAUGUUUUUGUUGUGAAAGACGGCCCGAAAUUUCGCCACAUCGCUGUACUGGUUUAUAAAAAAUUCUACUCGAAAUUCGACCAUGGAUAAAGAGACAACGCUCGAAUGAAAGAACUGCCUGUGUUAAUGGUAAGUUUUUAAAAGGUUUUCGGUAAUAUUUUUUAGUUCAAAGCUGUUCUCUCGAAGCUAUACUUCGGUAGAGUCGACAGUACUCAAUAGACAAUUGUGUUAACGUUGUUUUAUUCAUGUUGUUGCUACCCAUUCACAACUAAGUUAAAUCAAAUGCCUAUUUAAAGUAUUUUAUCUUUGUUAGAAUUAUUAAAUAUGACUUUAGAACACAAAUAUUUUCCAUUAGUUUUAAAAUUAAUUUAAAGAAAGUACAGUAUUUUAUCAUGUUUGGUGAUAGAUUUUAAAUUAACAUAACAAGACAUAGAUUUACAUGGCAAGAAAUAAAAAUAUAGUGUAAUUUUUGUGUAUUUUUCCAAGGGGGCACCACAAUUUUGCCUGGGGCCCCGGGCCCAUCUCGGUCAUGUCUAUAUAUCAAUAUAUGGAGCACAAUAAGGGCACAAUGCAGCUUAAUAAUGCACCAGUCAUUUGAAACCCUGGCCACCCGACCUCCAUGGAUAUGCGGGGUUUUAACAUUUCACAAGUGUUAAAAUUCCGACUUAAAAAUGUUGUUCAAUUGUUAAAUUACUCGGGUGGUGGCUGGGUCAAAUAAGAAAACGAGUACACAAAUUGUCGUAGACAAAGUACUUUAUUCGUACUUAUAUAAUUUCGUGCAUACUUCACUUGUUCCUCGACUUGUUCAGUUUAUAUCUGUCCAUCAAUUUUGCAAAUAAUCACUGUAUUUAUUUUAUUUUUAUUUAUUAGUUUUGCCAUAUUACAAUACACAAAACUAUAACAAGAAUAAUAUACAUGACUAUAGGCAGGGUGACCGCAACGGCGUGAGCCAAUUACUGCGGGCCUGAAUUACUGUACUGUAAUUUGAGGCAAUAUUACCCAUAUUUUGACAACUAACGGCGUUUGCAUGUCUAAAUUUGUGAGGUUUUCUAAUGGAGAGACUUUAGAAAUGUGAUUAGGUUCUGUGCACAUUAAAUCCUGGCCAUUCUACCCGGGACCUUCUUCAUAUAGUUUUAAACACUUUACCGUAAACCUCUGACUAUAAGCCCUGGGCUUGUAUACUUUUUUGUCAGCGAUUUUUGAUGGGCUUAUACAAGGGGGGGGCUAAUACAUGGACGAUCUUUUGUGUUAGUAAUAAACAAGUCAGACAUAAACAAGUCGGUCAUUAACGUGCUUUGAUUUUAACAUACUGAGCUAUAAAGACAAUGACAAUGUUUUUAAAUAUUGUUCUCUGCUAUAUUAAAAGACAAUGUCAAUGUUGAAUAAUGUAGUGGGUUACUUGAGUGGGUUGGGGGACUUAUAUUUGGCUGGCCUUGUAUUGGGGGGGGGCUUAUAUUUGGAAUGAGGUGAGUGUUAGUAUAUGUGGUGGAAGCAUAUUCGGGAGGGGGGGGGUCUUAAUAGUCAGAGGUUUAUGGUAUUGGAUUGUGACCAAACGGUAGGAGUGCGAACAGGACUCAAGGUCCCAUGCGAGGCACUCCUCCGAUUAAAGAUACAACAACAGACAAUACAUGUAGAAUAAAAUAUACAUAACUACAGUCAAAAAUAAACAUAUGCCACCAAAUCGAAAAUCAAAGCUAAGAUUUAUGAUGCUUACGAAUUUAGUGAUAGCAAUAAUACCUUGAAAUGAUGUAUGGAACAGUUAAAUAUAGAAUUUAAGUAAUCAAGCAAUAGCAUAUGUUUAUCUCGUAUGACAUGAGCAAGUUCGAUGUAAUGACCAUGUGCAGACCAUGUCUACAUCGUAACAAGAGAUUAAUAAAUGUAAAUAUGUUCUUGAUAAAAACGAUCUGAACAUAGUUAGGCUACUCAAGUCUGAAGGUUUAGCAGUUCUACACGUACGGUUCCAAAGGGGAACGAUACGAUUAACCCAUUAAGCAGCCAGCGCUCUCCCCUUGACGAGUAAAAUCGUCUGGCGUUAGACAGAGUAAAAUACUAAAGUAGGGUCCAUCAGGGUGCAAUGCGACUCGAUGGGUUAACUAGACACAUGCGCGGAUAGGCCAGUUAACCCUUAACCGCCAGCGCUCUCCCCUUGACGAGUAAAAUUGUCUGGCGUUAGACAGAGUAAAAUACUAAAGUCAGGGCUCGAAACUUGACAUUUUUGUCAGUAUCCAAGUGGAUACCAGCAUCAUAGAAUCUAGUAUCCAUCCUUGAAAUAUAGUAACCCAGAUUUGGAUACUAGAUAUUCUAUUUCCAGUAUCUAAGCAAGGCAAAAUUUUACCUUGCAACCAGGCCUUCAGUUGUUGAGCAAAAACCAGGCCUUUAGUUUCAAUAAUAAAAAUAUGUAUUGAAAUUCGAAAAAAUUGAAAAUAACACACUGCCGUGAUACGAAAGAAAGCACCGUUUGUGAAAUUUUUUUUUUUAAAUAUUCUGCCAAAAUUUAUAGACAUUGAAGUUCGGAAACAUGCCAAACGUCUAGAUGAUUAUCUACUAUCACAAUUUCUAAGUUUUCCUAGUAUCCAGUUGGGAUACUGAGCUUAUGAUACCCAGUAUCCAAAAUUAAAAUCUGAUAUCCUGUGGAUAUCGGGAUACCGCAAGUUUCAAGCCCUGCUAAAGUAGGGUGCAUCAGGGCGCAAUGCGACUCAAUGGGUUAAAGUACGAUGACUGGAAUGUACUUGUUUUGCACUGUAAAGGUACUUUGAGCAUAUUAGGCUUAUGCGCUAGGAUUUACACAAUUACGGGUACGGCUGUAGGUUACGAAUGACACAUAAUCACAAACAUUCAAAUCAUAAUAUCCGUACAUAAAAGAAUGUUACGUCCUUUAUCUCCCUAUCGUAAGAUAGAAUAUUAAGGGCCAACAAAAGAUCGUUGUAUGAGACCUCUCCUAUCUUUACUUGAAGUGUCCAUCUUCUGGCACACCUUUGAAUCCUCUCUAGAUAGGUUCUGUUGGUGGACUGUCACUGUGACCAGACUUCUGUAGCAUAACCCAGUUGGGAUUUCACUAAGAAUAAGUAUAAUGUCCAGGGGUGGAAAAAUAUUUUACUUUCUGGGGCCGCAAGAGAACAUUGAACAUUUUCUGUAAAUAAUCAAGUAAGUCGACACUUGGACACUGUAAUUGUGUAACACUAACAAGUUGUCAAACUGGAUGUCAUGCUAUAUUUCACAGGAAAAAAUAUUUCACUGGAAAUAAUAUUUCACUAAGAAUCUUAAAAUAUAACAUAAAUCUAAUUUUAGAUGGCAUGUAUCAAGGGUAAAUACAGAUGCCAAAAAAGCUAGGGCACUUUUAGGGGACACUAUCAGGGAGAUCAUGCAUGCUCUCCCAGAAAAUUUUGUCCCAGAUCAGCUAAAAAUGCAUUUGCCAUACAACAUUUUUUACAUCGUUCUAUAGUCUAAUACAUUUAUACACUAUCGCACUAUUAAGAUGGUUACACUUAUAAUUGUAUUUCUGAUGUCAUGGUGUGAAUUUCCCUCUGAAUUUCUCUUUUUAUUUGAAUAAUUUAUUACAAUUUUUCUUUCUUGGGAAAAUAUUUUCUGGGAACUUAAAAAAUUUUCUGGGACCAAUGGUCCUGUGGAACGAUACUUUUCCACCCCUGAUAAUGUCCUUCGAGCAACACGAUCUGUUAACAAGGGGCACAUUCUCCGUAAUAAUAUAAUAUUUACCUUGGAUACAAUUUGAAUGAUGUGCUGAUUCCAAUAUAACUUGUCAGUAAUUCCAAGGUCAUGAUGUUAAACCUUGGCUAUUUUACCCCGCUUUUAUAUCAGUAUUAAACCCUGGGUAUCGAAAAAGCAAUGCUUGGUUAAAAUGCUGUAUUUUCCCCCGCAAGCUCUUGUUAAAACCUGGCCUGUACCUGGGGAUUGUGGGACUGGGGUUUCAAUUGACUAGUGCAUAAUAGGUUAACUACACAGAUGAGCAGUCUGAUGAACACAUUGAGUGACAUUGUUCUCCCUAUCUACCGUAAGCCUCUGACUAUAAGCCCUGGGCUUAUAUACUUUCGUAAGCGUUUUUGAUGGGCUUAUGCAAGGCGGGGCGUAUAUAAGGGGGGGGGGGUAGUACAUGGAUGAUCUUUUGUGUCGGUAAUAAAUAAGUCAGACAUAAACAAGUCAGUCAUAAUUGGGGGGCUUAUAUUCGGAAUAAGGUGAGCGUUAGUAUAUGUGGUGGGCUUAUAUUAAGGGGGGGUGGUUUAUAGUCGGAGCUUUAUAUGCUGGUAAUAAAUUGCUUUUCAAGAGUUUAUGUACUAUUUAAAACAUGAGUAGGAGUGUUUUAACUAAUGAAGAUGAUGCUUGUGAUGUUACUCUGAGUGUAUAUCCACACCGGGCAGGCUUGAAAAAUAUGCCUGGCCACGGUGGGAAUCGAACCUACAACCUUUGGAAUACUAGUCCAAUCAGUUCCGAUAGUCGCAUACUCGAACCGAUCUGACCGCAUAGCUCAGUUGGCUGAGCAUUGGACUAGUAUUCCAAAGGUUGUAGGUUCGAUUCCCACCGUGGCAAGGCAUAUUUUUCAAGCCUGCCCGGUGUGGAUAUACACUCAGAGUAACAUCACAAGCAUCUUAUUCACCUGAGUACAUUACACCAACACAGAAAAUAUCAUGAUUGCUAGAUUACAUUGAUAUCGAAGGAACUAGACUCAGUUCCGAAAUAUCACAUACUCGAACCGAUCUGACCGCGUAGCUCAGUUGGCUGAGCAUUGGACUAGUAUUCCAAAGGUUGUAGGUUCAAUUCCCACCAUGGCAAGGCAUAUUUUUCAAGCCUGCCCAGUGUGGAUAUACACUCAGAGUAACAUCACAAGCAUCUUAUUCACCUGAGUACAUUACACCAACACAGAAAAUAUAAUGAAGAUGAGUUUUAUCAGAUAUAAAGUCGUUCCACAUGACAUAUGGCUGACAUGUUUUGCCACAAGGUUUAUGAAUUAUUGAGUAUUUUAAUGUAUUAUAAAACAUAAAGAGAAUUUUUCAUGGCAACAGUUGGGUUAAUUUAUGUGCAUUCUUUAUUGUGGUAUCAGUUAGAUAAUGAUACCAUACUUUUUGUUUCGUUUUUGGAACAAAUUUGAGGACUGCCCAAGAACUGAGACGAGUUGGUUUUUGUACUGUUUAUUAAGAUGUAUGGUACUGUAUAUACAACACAAGUCAAAUAUAUCACAGUCAAAUCCGGUGUUCCGUAGCAAAUUGCAACCAACGCGAACAAAUUGCAAUUUUUACGUACAUUUGCGAUUAUUGGGCAUGUUGACAAUUUUCUGAGAAGUCGCACCCAAAUGUCAGAUGCCAAGCACUUGAUUGGCAAGUGAACAGAACACUGGAUUUGACUUGUAAUUGAACGUGUAAUUUCACGUACAUGCCUAUCUAAGAUUCUAUGGCACUAUAUAAGUUCAAUUUAUACACUUCUAAAGAACAAAUAUUAACCAAUUACAUUGUCUCAUUCACUACUGUCUAUACUAAUCACAUAUACAUGAUAUUAUUAGUAGUUUGAAUUAAACACCGAGAUAAUUAUCUAUACAAUCUUAUAUUACAAUACAUUGGGUCAUUCCAGAAAAGAUCCACCGAGGAAAUUUCUGCCGUCCGGAGGGGGAGGGGAGAAAAAAUUGUUUCUGAUAAUAGUAAAUGUAUUAGGACAUCCAAAGGGGGUAGGGGUAUUAACUUACAAUUUCCUCUGUGGUAUGGAUGUUUUCUGGAAUGACCCAAUAUUGGUUAAUUCACUUUUAUUAAUUAAAUGUGUUUACUGUAACUCUUUAAAUGGGUAAUAUAUGCAUCCUGAUGAGACUUACUUUGUUAUUUCAAUCUGUGUAUAAAUCUCCACUUGAUAAUUUCUGUCUACCAGACCCUUCAAUUCAUGGGUGGAUUUUCAUUUUUUUUAAAGGGGGGGGUAGAGAAAUUUCUGGUGGGGUGCAAGCAGCACCACUCAGUGAGCUUCGACAAGGGUUAGGUGUUAAGGACUUAGGAGGGGUGAAGCAAAAUUUUGGUGGGGUUUGAACGCUUUACAAGAGGGGUUAGAGAAAUUCUAUUGGGGGGGGGGUUAACCCCGUCUAACCCCCCAGUAAAUAAUUUCCUUGACAAUAAUCGUGAGAUGAUUUUUUUAUAUCGCCCAACCCAGGGGAGAACAUUGCAUAGUCAUUCAGUGACAGUGUCACUGAAUGACUAUGCAAUGUUCUCCCCUUAACCCAUUAAGCUGCAGAGCUUCCCAAUUGACAAGUAAAAUCUUACGUCGUUGGACAAGUAAAAAAAAGUAGGGCGCAUUGCAGCUCAAUGGGGUAACUAGAGACAUUGUCAGAUUUUUUGGUUAACCCAUUAAGCUGCAGAGCUUCCCUAUUGAAGAGUGAAAUCGCCCAGUGUUGGACAAGUAAAAAAAGAAUUAUAAAAGUAGGGCACACUGGGACGCAUUGUGGCUCAAUGGGUUAAUGAGUAAAUCACCUGCCAUUAGUCAUACGGUAAUACAAUAAUAAAGUUGGGAGCAUUGCAGCUAAUCAGUUAAUCUUAUUCACCUUAGGCAACGGCAAUUCAACAAUGUAACAAAAUACCAAUGUGUACAAGCCAAUCAAGUCCAACGUAUUGUCAUUUUUGGAUGUUGUAAAAUAGUUCAGUUGGAUUUGCAGAUGAGGUACUUGAAAAGGUCAGUUUCAAUUACAGUAGUUCAGUGCCGUAGCAAGCUCGAUAAUUGGGGUGCUCAUAUUCAUAUAUUUGUGUUCACAGACCAUAAAAACAAUCGAUUUCAAAAGAAAUUAAUAACGCAGAACACAAAUAUAUGAACAUGUUUUUAUCGAUCGAAAGUAAUUGUUUUGAUGAGAGGAAAUGUUUUCAACAAUUUUCAGAGAGUUUGGACUAGUUUGAGGUGGUUUUUGAAUUUUUGAAAAAUUUCCUGUUCAAAUAAAAAGGGGCUUUUUAUUUGACCAAAAUUUUUAAAACAUGUUUUUAUUGAACCGAAACUAGUGCUUUUGAUGAGAGGAAAGGUUUUCGAGAAUUUUCAGAAAGUUUGGACUAGUUUGAGGCAGUAAUUUUUGAAGAAUUUCCUGUGGUCCCCUUUCCUAAGCCUAGGGUACCCUGUGGUCCCCCUUUUGCAUUUGACGAAAAUUUUUAAAACAUGUUUUCAUCAAUCGAAAGUAGUGCUUUUGAUGAAGGGAAAGGUUUUGACAAUUUUCUGAAAGUUUGGACUAGUUUGAGAUGGUUUUUGAAUGUUUUUGAAAAGUUUGCUGUGCCCCUGCUUUGCUAGGCCUAUAAUAGGGUGGGUCAAGUUUUUAAGUGGUAAUGCACGGCCCUACUUUAUUAUUUUACUCUGUCUAAGGGCAGACAAUUUUACUUGUCAAAUGGAGAGUACUGUGGGUUAAUCUGCCCAUGUAUCUUGUUAAUUCUUUCAAGUGGUAAUGCACUCUGAUCUUUAUUAUAAUUUUACUGUAAGGCCUAAAAAAUACAUGUGGUUCCGGUUCCUGACAGACCCUAUUUUUUCGGUUGACCCUAUUAUUUUUUCAACGGGAUUGACUGUGCGACCCUAUUUUCUCCGGGUGGUGCAGGCUGCUCAUACAGCGUGCCAAAAUGUGGCAUAUGUUUUCACACUAAUUAUUGAACCAAAUUGCCUAAAUUCAUCCAUAGGAAAUAUCCAUCUCUCGUAUUAAUGUCCGGACUCUACUGCAAAUUGCCCACCAAAAAACUGUCCAAACCAUGAAAAAAAAAAUUGCAAAAAAAUUUAUUUCUGACCUACCGACCAUAAUUUUUUCACGAUAAGAAACCAGAACCACAGGUAUUUUUUUAGGCCUAAUGACAGAUAUUUUACUUGUCAAUUAGAGAGUGGUGACACUCCAUGGGUCAAGUUAUAUUUCAUCUUAUUCUCACUCAAAUUAAUUUUCGAAGAUGUCUAUCCCUAUGUUAAUUAAGUUAGAUGGUUGCUGACAAGUACGGAACGUGGGCGCGAACUCCCUUCUUCCGCUGCCUUUGACUUUUCGUGCCCGCAUUCCUUACUUGUCGGCGACCAUCAGUACUUCGUAACAAUCACUUUCGACUUCUAAAAACAUGCUUUGCAAAACUUGAAAAUUUCAGUCAAAUGGCAAGGGGGGGGGGGCACAGUGACCAGUCCAGGUUUUUGAGCUAUUUUUCAAUAAUUCAAUAUUGCCCAAAAUCACUGCAGACCUUCUGGAAGUAAUUGGAAAUGUUUUGUUUGGCAAAACGAUGGCUUUCGACUUGUAAGGAUGUGUGUUACAAAUUUUUAAAAUUUUGAUCAAAUGGGAGAGGGGGGUGUUGAUGGCUCCAGUUUUUGAGUUGUUUUUCAAUAAUUCAAAAUUUUCCCCAAAUCACUCCAAACAAAACAUAUUGUAGCUACAAAAUUUGAAAAUUUUGAUGAAAUAUGAGGAGGGGGGCGCAGGCAUUCUCUCAGCUUUCAAUUUUUCCAACCAUACCUUUGAUUCAAUCUAAGGUGUCAUAUGAACUGAAUAUAAUGUUUUCUUUUCCAGGCGAGACAGAUCAACAUGGACAAUGUUUCGACGCUUUAUGAAAGUGAUUUGUUUUCUAAGAACAGAUUUGUGCGUGACAAGGAAAUUAAAGCUUAUGCUUCAGACAUUAUGAGAAUUGAGAAGCCCUAAGAAUGUGAACAUAUAAGAUAAUGGAUGGAGGACAUCAAUCCGUCCGAGGCAUCGAGAACUAAAACCAAAUCAGGUAUUAUACAAACUAUAACUUUAUUUCUGUAUAUGGAUAAUUAAUGCAUUUAUUGAAAAAUAAAAUAUGAUUUUACUUAUAAAAUAUGAUUUUACAGUAAAUAAAAAAGUGGAAAAUCAGCCAUUGGAUUCUGUUGAUCUUUUAAGCAGCAAUGCGCCUGAUUAAUGCCCCCUAAUCUAUUAUUUUACACGGUGUAACACUAGAUUGUUUUACGUCAGACACUUUCACUUGUCAAUAAGAGAGUGCCGCCAGUCUAUACGUUAGGUAAUGACCAUAAGUACAAGCAAAAGUAGUUAGGAUUAUGGUGAGCGGGCGAGUAAGUAUGUGAUACAUACUAUUAGCCCAUUAUUGGCCUUUCCUUAAUUCUCCAAAGCUAAAGGUGUUAGCUGUUAUCUAAUAUGAACAAAAUAUUAAGGGAUACCUUUGGCCAUAUUGAAAGACUGGAUGAAAAUGUUAAUACUUCGACAUUUUGCUGACAAAAAGUAAUGGUAAAAAUAAAAGGAUUAAUUAGGAUAGCCCUUGUCGACAAAAAGUGAGUGAUGAGCUUUUACUUUUUAUCAUUUUUAAAAAUUGGCCAAAAGUAAGUCGCCUUAACUUUUCGUUCAUGUUUAGCCACAGGGGCCC